ensembl:miRNA
CGCUCGGCUUCCGCUUUUCGUGUUCACAGCGGACCUUGAUUUAAUUUCAUACAAUUAAGGCACGCGGUGAAUGCCAAGAGAGAAGCCGGACU